UCUAGUUUCUGAUCUCAGAGCUGCGCUGGAUGUUUCCUCUUUUCAGCUCACCACAAGGCACAGCUGAUUGGUUCCUGCUGUAUCUGCAGCCAAUGAUCUUGCGUGCUCAACCUUCAAAAUACUUUGGUAGCAUUGCCUUCAGAAACCCUCCACCUUCCCCAGCUCCACCUGUAUAGAUCUGCUUCAGAUUCAGAUGGAGUGGAGAAAGAAAAUCACACAUCCAGAAAACUGCUGGAGCCUCAGAAAUCACAGAGCAGCAGAAAACAAGAAGACAGAGAGAAAAACUGACUCCAGAAAUGAAACACAAACCAGCAGAUCACAAGAGAGAAGAAGACAGAGACUUGAUAGAUGUGAGAGUAUGGAGAAAAAGCCAACCUUCUAAUGUGAUCCAGACGAGCCUGUAGAGUUUGAUUCUGAUGUCAAAAUUAAGUUGAGACUCUUACAACAAAUCCUUCAUCAUGUUCUCAAGAACAUCACAGAGUUCAGAUACCAGCAGCUGAAGACCUGAACAUCUUCAUCAUCAUCAUCAGACUACAGUCUGUUCAGAUCCUGGACUCUUACAGACUCAUCUGAUCACUAACAACAUGAUAUAUGAACAGCUUCUUUAUUUUAUACUGUACAAACUGUAUAUUCUGUAAUUUAGUAUGUAUGUAGUAUGUGAAUUAGUAUGUUUUUUAAGCCAUUUGGUUUAUGUUGUAAUACCCAUGUCAUUAUACACAUUUGUACACAUUUGUACAUAACCAUUGACUUGAUA